GUCCACUGAGAAACUCCAGUUACAGUUCACUCCUUGUUAAUUUUGUCUGAUACGGAAAGCUAAGCAGCGUGAGGCCUGGAUACUUCUUGGAUGCAAGAUGACUUGGGAAUACCAGGUGCUGUAGGCU
rnacentral:rRNA from 1 species